AUCGUCUCCACACACCUCCACCUCACCUUCUCCGACUCAGCCGCGCUACCAUGACUUUCCCCAUGGCCACCUCCACCGCCUCCACGGCCGCCGCCGCUUCCAUCCGCCUUCUCCCGGUGCCAGCCACCCCAUCCUCCCGCACUCUCCGCUUCCCGCCCAUCCUCCGCCGCGCGCCCCGCGCCCUCUUGUCCGUCUCCGCUCUCAGCAAGCUCUCCGAGGCGUCCCCCGUCCCCAUCCCGCAGGAGCCCACCCAGACUUUGCCCGGCGAGGACGCGCUUCCCCCUAGGCCCGGGGUCUACGGCGUCUUCGACCCCGCCGGGGACCUGCAGUUUCUCGGGAUCUCGCGCAACGUCAGGGCCAGCAUCGAGGGGCACCGCAGAAAGGUGCCCGCUGACCUCUGCGCCUCCGUCAAGGUUGCAAUACCAGACGAGGAAACGCCAGAUAAAAGUGUCCUAACUAAUGCCUGGAAAUCAUGGAUGGAAGAAUACAUAGCAGCCACCGGCAAGGCGCCACCAGGGAACGUUGCCGGGAACCACACCUGGAUCGGUCCUCCACAGAGACCUGCAGACCUGCGUUUGACUCCUGGUCGCCAUGUGCAGCUAACUGUGCCGCUUGAACAGUUGAUUGAUCGGUUAGUGAAGGAGAAUAAAGUGGUUGCCUUCAUCAAAGGAUCAAGAAGCGCUCCCCAGUGUGGGUUCUCACAAAGAGUGGUGGGGAUCCUGGAGGCACAUGGAGUGGACUUUGCAUCCGUAGAUAUUCUUGACGAGGAGCACAACCAUGGGUUGAGAGAGACCCUCAAGACCUACAGCAACUGGCCAACCUUCCCACAAGUUUUUGUUGGAGGAGAACUUGUGGGCGGAUGUGAUAUUAUUUCAUCCAUGGCUGAAAAGGGGGAGCUUGCUGCCCUAUUUCAGAAAUAGCACUCUCACCUUGGAGUUUAAGUAAUGUCUUGUUUUAUCAGAUUAUCUGAAUAUUAAAGAGAAGAUGUAUCAAUCAAUCUUUACUAGUUUAGGAAAGUUUCUACUGGAGGCAAGAUAUCUUCCAAGCAUGAUUUAUUCAAUUAAUUCCAGGAUCAGGCAGAAGCCAUCAUAAAUUUGCUGGGCCUUACGGUUAGGAGUUGGACGGAUCCAUGUCAUCCACAAUCACCAGGAAACUUCUGAUGUCAUGUUGCAGCAGACUGGCCAGGCAUGCUGUGAGGACGAGCACUCUGUACUGAAUGCCCUCUUUGCAAGCCUUUUCCACUUCAAGAAAAUUGAUGGGAUUUUCGGACUUUAGGCUAAUCCUCGGAUUGCAUAUGGGGGUUUCUCUUGUGUUUCUCAAUUUAAGAUUAGAUCCUCAAAGGAGAUACACACACCGACAGAAAGGAGCAACUUGAACUAGAAGCACAGAAAGCCUCUCACACACCAAGAGAAGAAAGAAGAUAGAUAUAUACUCAACAAAGGAAGAAGUUGGAUUACCAAUAUAGUUUCUUUCCAUUCCAGAGAUGGAUUGGUCGGUCUGGAAGAGCCAGUGGUGACCAACCAUAGAGGCCCAAGAAUAUGUUCUAGCACUUACAGGCACGUCUUCUUGUCCAUCUUUUAGGGGAGGAUGGCCCGGUUUGGUUAGUGAAGAAACCAUCGUGUUCCAUGCACAAACGGCAAAUGCCGGCCGUGCCUAUCCCGAAUUCAUGAUCUUUUCUGUUGCUUCUCUGUCGGUGCAAUCUUCGGCCGAUCUGUGCGAAGAUGGACGGAGUUUUUGUCAAAUGUCAACGUAAAAUCGUUUUCAAAUUGAAUGAGCUGUUAAUGUUCCUUGCAGAGGUGCGGAAAGGAUCGGCCGGCCGGUGGAGGUGCUACGGAGCGAGGGAGGGAGAUGUCGCUGUUGACUGUAUCCAUCUAGGGAAGCAUUUAUUUAGUAGUUGCCGACUGGCUUGCUUCAGAUUCGAAACUGCUCAAGGUUCCUUCAGAUUUCCCAUCGAAUCUGUAGGUGUAGGUAGAACUAGGGCUGUAGCCAGAUAUACUGUAGAUAGAUAGAUGCAUGUGUUGUUCAUCGGAAAGUUGCUUUUCCUAGCUUGCCUAGGUAGCAUCCACUGUUAGGAGUGGGCGUUGAUAAUGACGGUUUGUGCAACGCUGCAAGAAAGCUGCCGGCUGUAGAAAAACGAUGGAUCAUCUCCUCUUAGAGAUUUUAACAAUGGACCGAUCCGAAUGGACGGCGUAUUUGUCUGUUUUUUGUU